GCUGCGUGCCAAUUUUUUGGGUGCGCGCAGGGCAGCCUCUCCUGCCGCGCUACGUGCGAGCGCACGCGUCAUGGGCGCAGCGGGCCCAACCGCACAAACCCUACCCCCAAUCCAUAGCCGCCACUCCCUUCCUCCUUCUCCUUCCUCCCUCGUCUGCCGCCGCCACUCCCUCCCUCCUCAUCGCCCUGCCUCCGCCCUAGGAGCUUCGCCGCCUCCCUCGUGCUCGUCCUCUCAUCUCCCAUGGAGGGGAGGGGUGGGGAUGUAGUGGAAGGAGGAAGCCAGAGAUGUUGCUGCUGCUGACGUCCAUGUAGAUGUUGUUGCUGUGGAUCGAGAAAGCAAAGAAAUUAGGGGGAGGAUGUGAGAGAGAAGGAAGGAGAGGAGAGGUCAGGGAGAGCCCCGGUGUUCUAACCCUACUGGGGCAUCUUUGCUCCAGGGAGAAAGGAGGGGACCAGCGGCACAAGGAGGAGAGGAGGCCAUCGAGGCGAGCGGGGAGGGGGUGGCGGCGUGGGAGAGGAUGGAGCAGGGAGGACAUGAGGCGAAGGGGGAGUGGGGCUCGGGAGCACAUGCCGGCGGCCGGCAGGUCGAAUUGUCGCGCCACCGCGUCGUCGCCUCCUCUGCACCAUGAGGCGCCACCUCUGCCUCCACCCUCCACUAGGAAAGGAGCUCGAGGUGAACAGGCAGUGGGAAGGUGAGAGGAAGCAGGAGCUCAUCUCUCCUCCAAUGGCUGCCUCGUGCAUCUGGAGUAUAAGGAGGACAACACGUGCCUGUUGGAGGCGACUUGAGCAACGCAGGCCAGCGACGAACUAGAUCUGACAUAGAAGACCACGUUCGUCAGAUUCGAUAGUUAUCUUCUUCCAAUGGCUCUAAUGGGAAUAUAUAUGCGUAUAUAUUGAUGCAUCGUUGCCAUGUCUGGCUCUUCAGGAUGUGCACUCUUGUCUCCAUCGUUAUACCUAUUUUGGAAUCCAUGGUAGCAUGCUGUGCUUUGUCGGCACAUUCGUGCAUGUGUGAGGUCGCAGAUGAAGAAGCACCGAAUGAUCAUUAUAUUCUCCUCUGCUCUGAUCUUCUAUUGACAUAUUGUUUUCAGUUGCUGUUUAGUAUGGAUGCCUCCAUGGUUGCAUAGGCAUCCAUGGUUCUGUGAGGAGGUUACCUAUGUCAUUCUGUUUUAUAUAGAUGUCUAAUUAGCUGGUUAUUUGAACAUGAAAAGGAGUACGACUCGGCACAAAAGUCAACCGUGGGGAGGUGCAACAUGGCGUGGCCUCAGCAGCCAAUUAGGUGUCCUCUAUCUUUCCCUAUUUCUUCCUCUGGAACACUGAUUUUGUUUGACUUAUGAAGGCACAUUCAUCCUACAAGAACAAUCAUGAUUUAGAGUAAGACUGCCCUUGCACAUCGGUUUGCUUUCUUACAUUGAUUGUUGUUUUUUAUGCAUUAUAUCAUUCACCUUCUCACAUAAUAGUUUGGUAAAAAAAGAGUGAGCUCACUCCUAAAUUUGCACUAAUUAUAUAUUUAUGGCACUAUUAAUAAUUUGUAUUUGCAUUCUCUGUUGAGUUCGUCGAGUUCCUUUCUCAAUAUGCUUAGAUGCUUUUAUCAAUGUGAAUUGCAUCCAUGGUAGAAAGAAGCAAAAGUGUGAUGUGGCAUAAUCUCCAGCAUGGUAGGGUUGCGUAUCGACCAAAUAUUUGUUCUACAAUUGGUUAGUACAGACUUAUUGGAUCAUAUUUUUCAGAACUAUGUGAACCUUCUGCACAAUGAAUCAUAACCCUGAAUUGUUAUUUCAAAAAAUAUCUGUGAAACCUUACAUUUGUUAGCUGUCAUACAUAUUUUACUGUUCCUGGACAAUUUCUAUUUUUGCUAAAUAUGCUAAUCAGAAGUUUUAUUUAAUCAUGGCAGAAAUUUCGACAGAAUUAGGCCUUUCAGUACUUCACAUUUGUUUAACUAAUGGCCAUUUUCUAUUUUGUUGCUGUUUGGAUUGUUCAGGUAUUGGAAGUUUUGGGUUCCAUGAAAUUAUUGGUGCUUAUCUACAAAGUUUAUUAUGCUUAUCAUUCUAGAUUUUCUGAUUCUCAGUUGAAUAGUACCGUUGAUAAAGCUACACGGUGGAUGCUAUUCAUUAUAUAAGAAUUUGCUGGUGUUUGAUGCAAAAUAUCGGUGGCCAAAAUGUUGUUAUGGUCAGGUCGACCUGAAUAUUAUGUUCAUCUGUCUACACCUCCUCCUGUGGUAUCCAGUUGUUCGAGUACUGGUCACCUCCUCAUGGUAGACGCUUACAAGUGCUCCUGGUUGUUGAUAAUGCCUGAGACAAGUCACUAGCUGAGCCUAAUAAAAUAGUAAAGAAACUUUUUACAACAGUACAAAAAUGUAGAACAAAUCAAGUAGAAGAAGAGACAGAACGCACAAAAACUUUUGAAAGGAAUAUCAGUUUCAUACAUUAUUUGUAGUGCUAAAAUAAACAUACUGCAGGUUCAGGACUAAUUUAUUAUAGGCAAACCUGCACACAUGUGCUACUCUACCCAGGCUUAAUUCGUCCUAGCAAAAGAAAUCACAUCAUGAGCAAAAGAACAAAUUCACUACUAACAUUUCAAAUCAAGAUUUAUCCAUCUAGCAGUCCCAAAAUAUAUUUCUCUUCUCAUUAUUGCAGCAGCCUUUUCUGUACCAGCAAUGUGACACUGCACUACAAUAGAUAGCCUCCAGUAUAUAAUUAUAAUUCUGCGCGCACUUUGGAGCUAUUGGAUGCCUGAAUGCGUCGUGUUUCUCCAUUGUGCCAUGUUAAGACUUGCAUCUUGAGAGGAGGGAAAUAGUUAAGCAGGUUGUAUAGAGUUGCUACCAUACCAUUUCUUUGUGACUGCAUGGUCUCACCAUCAAUUUUCUUAAAAUAUAUUAGCCUCUUGUUCUUGGAAGAAUAGAUUUUCCAUCGCCUCUAUUUUACUUGCUGGGUGGAUUACAUGUUACUUCCUUGGAUGUUUAAAGGUUAUUAUAUCCUUGCUCCACUUUUUAUCGGCAAACAUUCUCUCAUCUUUUGGUAACUUGAGUAAGAUGCAACACACUAAUGCUUUCUUAGUCUGGUUUGUUCUUGCAAAAAAUAAUUGAAGUGUGCAGAUAGGAAGCAUGGAAACACUAAGAAGUUUCAUACGUACUAACAGCUGGAGUGAUUUCAUACCUGUAGUAACCGUCUUAGAAGAAAUAAUUUUUAGCUAUUUCUAAAGAUAUUAGACCAUACAAUUAUUCUUAAGUUAAAAUGUUUGGCACGGACUAACGUGUAUACGACUGGAGUGGUUCCAGAUUUGUUACAAGCUCCUUGUGUUGAGGAACAUCAAAGUGGGGAAGUUUCUAGUAUUUUCGAAUCUAUUAUUCAAAUGCUGAAGUGUAAUUUAUCACAUCCCUGAGAUAUAGGAUAUACACAUUUCACUAUACAGUCACUAAACCUAUGUUAUCAAGUUUUACCUUAGUAGUGUAUCACCAAUGUUUACAACUGUUUCAAAAAUAGAAGCAAUGUGGCUCACACUGAUCAAUCGCAUGUUUUAUCUCAACCAAUUUUUUAAAUUUUGACAUGCUAUUUUGAAGUAUAUAUUGGCAUUAUGCUAAAAAGGGACCUGAGAGGUGAAGUUUUAUUAUCUAUCCUGGUAGAAUAAUCCAAAGAAGAUAUGUUUUACUAACCAAUUUAUAUGCCUAAAGGUGCUGCUAUUGUUAUUAUUUUCUUAAUGGAUGCGCCUAAAUUUGUUUCGGUGCUCUUCUACUAAGAUUGACCAAAUGGGUGUUCUGCUAAAGUAAAAGUCAUAAGACUGAAAUAACAUGGGUCAGCCUUUGUAUGUCUGUUAGUGCUACAAACUAUUUGAAUGAAAGAUCUGACAAUACAUAGCACAUCGUAUGUCCACAGUUGUGAUGAUGGUAGGUGCAGAGUCUUGACUACUGUAGGUUUAUAAGUAGCUUUCUCUGAAUGCUAAAUGAAUGUACCAUGUACCAUAAAUCCACCAUGUACCAUGAUCAUCUGAAUAGUCUUGCUUAAGUUUAUGUUAGCUCCAUAUGCUAAAUGAAUGUUCGCUUGUGUUCAAAUUUCAAGGAAGUGUGCUUCAUGCUUCUGUUUCUGCAAUAUGUUUAAGAUUAUAUGAUUUCAUUUUCCUUCAUUCCCAGUUAUAAAUUUAUUGGCGUCAAAGUAGAGCUUCAGGUUUAUGGUUGAGUAUAUCAUUGCAAAGUACUUUAUGGCUCAGUAUAUCACUACAGGUUCCUUACACCGUCAAAAUUCAAUGUUUUUGUAUUUUUCUCAAUGGAACCAUGUUCUUUGACUAUAAAGUAGCAGAGAUUUAUUUUCUUAUCAAUUCUAAUCCCUUUUUGAUGCAUUGUAGGUUUGCUAUCAAACUCUCAAAAAGGAAAAACAACUUUACUCUGUUUUUUGGAUAACCCUCCUGUAGAGUACCUCGACAGAGACAAAUAUGCCAUCACAGAUAUAUUCGAUUGAUUUUCAUGCAAAACUUGGAGGAUAUUUUUGCAGAUAUUUUGAUGCUCUCAUGGUUAAUCUUUUUCUUGGAACUAUUGGCAUGUAGAGGAGGCUGCGUUUUAUUUGUUGGUUUAUGUGAUUGGCGGGGAUGGAACAAUGAGAGGAGCAGUGGUGAUAUUCGAAGAGUUUAAACGGUGUCGUUUGAGGAUAUCCAUUACAGGGAUCC